rnacentral:misc_RNA from 1 species
GUCGCCGAUGUGCACCUCGUUGCCGAGGAGGUCCACGCACACGCCGAGCUUGAGCGCGUCGAUGGGGCACGUGUCCGAGGACGACGGCGUCGGGGUGGACGGCGUCGGCGUCGGCGAUGGCGGGCACGCCUUCCUCCCGCCGUGUCGCUUCGGCGGGCUCGGGCUCGGGCUGUAGCCGCCGCCGCCGCUGCCGCCGCCGAUGAUUCCUCCGACAACCGGGGCGAUGCCUCCGACGACGCCACCGACAACGGGGGCGACACCUCCGACGACCGGGGCGACGCCACCGACGACUCCACCGACGACCGGGGCGACACCUCCGACGACACCGCCGACGACGGGAGGGACUUUCCCG